GGAUGUGAGGGUGAUCUGGCUGUGACAUCUGUGGCCCCCUUGAUCACCAGGGUUGAUUCAGCUGAUCUGGCUGACUAGGUGAGUGUCCCCUUCCUCCUCCCUCCCCACUUCACAUGGUCCCUCCUGAAGCUGUGGGCUUGGUUGAAGAGGACAACUCUCCCUAAUAAAGGACUGUUCUUUGGUAAUGGGCAUAUGAGUAACUGCACUCCCUUUGGGAGGUGACUAGGUCAUACUAGUGGAGCUCUGCUG
rnacentral:snRNA from 1 species